CCUACGGGGUGCAGCAGUGGGGGAUAUUGCACAAUGGGGGGAACCCUGAUGCAGCGACGCCGCGUGGGUGAAGGAGCGUUUCGGCGCGUAAAGCCCUAUCGGCAGGGAAGAAGGAGGACGGUACCUGACUAAGAAGCACCGGCUAACUACGUGCCAGCAGCCGCGGUACUACGUAGGGGGCAAGCGUUAUCCGGAUUUACUGGGUGUAAAGGGGGCGCAGACGGCAGCGCAAGCCAGGAGUGAAAGCCCGGGGCCCAACCCCGGGACUGCUCUUGGAACUGGGCGGCUGGAGUGCAGGAGGGGCAGGCGGAAUUCCUGGUGUAGCGGUGAAAUGCGUAGAUAUCAGGAGGAGCACCGGUGGCGAAGGCGGCCUGCUGGACUGCGACUGACGUUGAGGCCCGAAAGCGUGGGGAGCGAACAGGAUUAGAUACCCGUGUAGUC
rnacentral:rRNA from 1 species